UACGUAGGGUGCGAGCGUUGUCCGGAAUUACUGGGCGUAAAGAGCUCGUAGGUGGUUUGUCGCGUUGUUCGUGAAAACUCACAGCUUGACUGUGGGCGUGCGGGCGAUACGGGCAGACUGGAGUACUGCAGGGGAGACUGAAAUUCCUGGUGUAGCGGUGGAAUGCGCAGAUAUCAGGAGGAACACCGGUGGCGAAGGCGGGUCUCUGGGCAGUAACUGACGCUGGAGGAGCGAAAGCGUGGGGAGCGAACAGG
rnacentral:rRNA from 1 species